rnacentral:rRNA from 1 species
CCUACGUGAGUCAGCAGUGGGGAAUAUUGCGCAAUGGGCGAAAGCCUGACGCAGCGACGCCGCGUGAGGGAUGAAGGUCUUCGGAUCGUAAACCUCUGUCAGCAGGGAAGAACGGUCACUGUGCUAAUCAGCAGUGAAUUGACGGUACCUGCAAAGGAAGCACCGGCUAACUCCGUGCCAGCAGCCGCGGUAAUACGGAGGGUGCGAGCGUUAAUCGGAAUUACUGGGCGUAAAGCGCUCGUAGGCGGUAUGUCAAGUCAAGGGUGAAAUCCCCGCGCUCAACGUGGGAACUGCCUUUGAAACUGGCAAACUGGAGUGUGUGAGAGGAUAGUGGAAGUCCAGGUGUAGGAGUGAAAUCCGUAGAUAUCUGGAGGAACAUCAGUGGCGAAGGCGACUAUCGGGCACAUAACUGACGCUGAGGAGCGAAAGCGUGGGUAGCAAACAGGAUUAGAUACCCUGGUAGUC